AACGAACGCUGGCGGCAGGCCUAACACAUGCAAGUCGAGCGCCCCGCAAGGGGAGCGGCGGACGGGUGAGUAACGCGUGGGAACGAGCCCUUUGCUACGGAAUAGCCCCGGGAAACUGGGAGUAAUACCGUAUAAGCCCUACGGGGGAAAGAUUUAUCGGCAAAGGAUCGGCCCGCGUUGGAUUAGGUAGUUGGUGGGGUAAUGGCCUACCAAGCCGACGAUCCAUUGCUGGUUUGAGAGGAUGAUCAGCCACACUGGGACUGAGACACGGCCCAGACUCCUACGGGAGGCAGCAGUGGGGAAUCUUAGACAAUGGGCGCAAGCCUGAUCUAGCCAUGCCGCGUGAGCGAUGAAGGCCUUAGGGUUGUAAAGCUCUUUCGUGGGGGAAGAUAAUGACUGUACCCCAAGAAGAAGCCACGGCUAACUACGUGCCAGCAGCCGCAGUAAGAC
rnacentral:rRNA from 1 species